rnacentral:lncRNA from 1 species
UUUACGCGCAUCGUUUGGUGCCGUGCGACAAACGGCAGGAAAGAAGCAAACGUGCACGGAAGGAUGGAAUCGAUUCUCGAUGCAGUGAAUUCGCGUUCCUUGCGGUCGCGUUCGCUCAACUGUGAAUAGUUGCAGCGGAGACAGUCAAGACGACAGCGCGACCUUCGUCAUCCGGCCGUCGAUCAGUGGCCUGCCGAAGCUGAAAGUCGAAUUUGCAGUCAUGUCCCGGCUGGUGGUCGAGUCCUGAAUUGCCGUGCCACCGUGCAAUUCAGCGCGCAUAUAGGCUUCCAGACAUUGCACGCAAUUAAGUUCCUGGCACGCUUUCACCGUGGUCUGGUAAGAGUCCAUUCCUAGAAGCGUUGAUCGACUUAACUUGUCCUAAGCUUCGCUCCACGAAGGGAGACUUGGACGUUUGUGCCGUCCGCAUCUCCUAGUUCCAUAAUCUGUUCUUCUCUUUCUUUAGUAUGUUUUCUUUCUUUUUUGCUCAGAUAAAUAUAUCACGAGCCCAAGUGGCCGAAUGACAUCGGCUCAUUCUUUCUUAUUUCUGCUCCGUGUUUAUUCCAGAGAUACGGCGAACGUGUCGCUGAGGGGGCGUUGGGUCCUUGAACACAACUCGGGUCACUGGGCAGCAGCCUUUCACGACAGUGGUCGCCCGGCCAGUCAGGAAGCUUGCUUGCUACCAUGGGGGAACCGAGGCUGGAACUAGGGUUUUGACCCUGAGCAGGAGACGUCCUCGUCUUACCAUCAGCUGGCCCAUUUAACCUGCCACGUCGUCGAUGACAUGUGCCACGCGCGCGUUCCGGGAGUCCCCUCGGUCCUUGGCUGCGCAGCGUCGAGUGGACCGGCCCAGCUUUAGUGGCGGCCAGCCUCCACCAGCGGUGACCAGCAGCAGGCGCCGUGCAUCGGACAGAGCUGCCACCACGCAGCAGAGCGCGGCGCCACGCUGGGGCCCGCGGAUCGUGCGCCGGCGUGCGCUACUCGACGGCGCGGCGUCCGCCAUUGCCAGGAUGCUGCAACACGCGUUCCAGUCUUCGAUGUCAUGACGGCAUCUGUCUCCGUAGUUCUAGUCUUCGAGCUUUCCGAUGUUUCUUAUUUGGCACAACUAGUAGGACGUCCACAAGCACUGUCAUCCUCUAUUCUGUGAUCUUCCAAUAAGAUCCCUGCUGCCAGAAGGUUCCUCCAUGAUGUGAUUCGGAGGUGGAUGCACACAGCGGCCCAAUUCACUCCUCUCAACAUCCUCAGCUGUUGCGUCCACAAACGCUUUUUUGUUGUUGUUUUUUUUCGAAUUGUCCAGCUUUUGUUCCAGUGCACCAUAGCGCUGGCUCUUGCGAUCAACAGGGAAGACAACCCCUCAACCCACGCCGCCCAUAAACGCAGUGGGGACCCUAGCGACGGCCUUCGAUCCGCAUUUGAUUGGAAUUUUAAAGUUUUAAUAAACUCGCAUCGUUCAUUGUCAGUCUA